UAACGGCUGAACCAGCAAUUUGGGGGAAUGUAUAGUCUAAUCUAAUUGUCAUUUAAUUUAUUAAAUGCAAUAUCGACUACGUCGAAUAAAGUUCUAGAUAGAAUAGUGAUAGUGACAAUUUUCUAUCUAUAUGUCUUGACCAAAUCACGUGCCAGCAGUCGCGGUAAUACGUGGAAGACUAGUGUUAUUCAUCUUUAUUAGGUUUAAAGGGUACCUAGACGGUAUAUUUAGCCCAAAAAAGGGGACGUGUAUACUAGAGUUUUAUAUGAGGAGGGGAGAACUUUUGGAGUAGAGAUAAAAUUCUGUGAUAACAAGAGGACUGGUAUAGGCGAAGGCAACCUUUUAUGUAAAAACUGACGUUGAGGGACGAAGGCUUGGGUAACGAUUAGGAUUAGAUACCCUAGUAGUCCAGGCAGAAAAUUAUGAAUGUCAUAGACUUGGCAAAGUCCACUUCUAUAAAUGAAAGUGUAAGCAUUCCACCUCAAGAGUAAUGUGGCAACGCAGGAACUGAAAUCAUUAGACCGUUUCUGAAACCAGUAGUGAAGUAUGUUAUUUAAUUCGAUGAUCCGCGAAAAACCUUACCACAAUUUGAACACCGCAACAAGCGCUGCACGGCUGUCUUCAGUUAAUGUCGUGAGAUUAUGGUUAGUUCCAUUAAUUAACGUAAACCCUUUCUUUAUUUAUUAUAAUAAAGUCGUCUUCCUAUAGUAUGGGAAAAAUGAAUGGGACUAAGACAAGUCAUCAUGGCCUUAAUAUUGUGGGCUAUAGACGUGCCACAUAAGCCUUUACAAAGGGAUGCAAUA
rnacentral:rRNA from 1 species